UGUUUACUAGCAGUCAGUCACGCACGCACCUGUUGAAGGGUUGAGACGGGCAGCAGGCAACCCUUAGUGGCCCGCGCCCUCUGCACGUGCCCACACGCGCGCUACACUAGGUGAACUGCUCUCGUGUGCUAGCAUAUUAUUGGACAAUGUUACCAGGACUGUGCAGUGAGGACUCCCGAGCGGGGGUCACGGGACACUAUGUGUUCGGUUCACUCCUGGUCAAUGAUAACUCCGCCACGCCGUACUCUGACGCCACACAGACGAAGAAACAUCCGCCCAACCACGUGAAGCGGCCCAUGAACGCCUUCAUGGUGUGGUCCCAGCUGGAGCGUCGACAGAUAGUCUCCCAGACCCCGGACAUGCACAACGCCGAGAUCUCCAAGCAGCUGGGGCGCCGCUGGAAGCUGCUCACGGAAGAUCAGCGAAGACCUUACCGCGAAGAAGCCCAGCGGCUCAAGAUCCUUCACCGCCUGGAGUACCCGGACUACAAGUACCGGCCGAGGAAGAAGAACGCCAGGACGUGCCCGCCUCCUUUAUUGAGCCGCGGCGACGCUCUGAGAGGGGUGGCGGCAGGCGGCGGCGGCCGUGUUGGUAAACAACGAGUUCAGGGGCCGACUCACUCACCGCCGGCCAACGCCGCCACCGUUAACAAGGUGCGAGAGUGUCUCCUCGUCUCCAACCUCAAGAACUUAGCAAGGAUGAGCAGUCCGCUCAGGUCCCCCGCCACACCGCAGCAAGAUAAACCUCAAGUAAAAUCCCUCAACACCCGACUACCCAACAGCCCGCCCCAUGACCUCCCAGACUCCCCGGAGAGCGCCAGCACCUUUGACGAUCGCUCCUCCAUAAUCAACUGGGACGCAAAUUUUGAACAGUGUUGUGACCUGUCCUCCCCUCAGCCGGGUGCCCCCAAGGUAGGGUUUGGCUGGACAAGUGAUCUCAUAAACUCCUCCGCUGUCUCAACUCAAGAUGGCACAGAGUUGCUUCCUGAAGACCCGCCGACACUCGCGGACUUGGACAACAUUGGAAUGAAGGAUCUAGUACCACUGUCCCCCGACCUGUCCUUCGACCUCAACACUCUCAGCUCUGACAUCGACUUGUGGGCGGCCACUGAGUGUGACCAGGGCGAGCUGUGUAACCAGCGGGACCUGGCCACACCGCCCACACCCUCAGCUUAUGGCGGCUACGACGGGUCACAACCAGCCUGGGACGACGGCAUCGAUUCUUUUGUAGAAGGUCUACAGAUUACCUAUCAGCCCCUUCAGGAGGAGGAGUAUUCAUCCGUGCCUUCGUCAGCUGCGGCGCCUGCGUCAGUGUGGCUGCGUCCUGCCCUAGAGGCGUCUUACUCACUGGGAGACCCUACAAGAUGAGCUCCUCGCUCUCUACUUUGCUCACACCAUGUUGUUUGGCGAGCUGGACUCUGCCAUUUUACUGACCCUCCGUGCACCUCUACGACUCAUGUUACGAUAAAGCUAAACGUCCGUCAGAGCGACCAGCUGCUUGAGGAGCUACGGAGGACGACCUUCACCGGAUGACAAUGAUCUCAAACUUUGGCCAAACUCUUGAAAAUCUCAGAUUUCUGCCUCUACUCACCCGGCUCUUAUAUCCCUUCUGGACAAAGAAGAAAGACGCAUUUCUUCCGUUGUGUUUGUCCAGAAGUCCCGGGUUCUUGCAGCUCGUGUGCCGCCGCCCUUCCACAUGCUUCAACCUCUCUCUCACCUCACCCCCCUCCCUACACACUGACGCCCUCAGGUUGUCUCAGUAUAUUGGCCACAAGUUCUUAUAUUGCUGUGAUAAAAUGUGGAAUUCUAGUCUUUCCAGUUUGGUGUAAUUUUUGCCGCAGACUGGUGGUGUACGGCCUCAUGUAGCCAGUCAGUUAUACCUUGACGGCCUCAUGUAGCCAGUCAGUUAUACCUUGACGGCCUCAUGUAGCCAGUCAGUUAUACCUUGACGGCCUCAUGUAGCCAGUCAGUUAUACCUUGACGGCCUCAUGUAGCCAGUCAGUUUACCUUGACGGCCUCAUGUAGCCAGUCAGUUAUACCUUGACGGCCUCAUGUAGCCAGUCAGUUUACCUUGGUACUGGAGUUGCUUUGAGAACGUUAACUCGUCGAGAUCUGGUUUUUGAUGUAAUAAUCUGAUUGUUUACUUGACGAGAUGACGAUCUGAUUGGUAGCCUAGUAUAGCCUGAGUGUCCCCCAGAGAACCCGGGCAACCAUAUGAACCCAGGUGAGCGUGCAGGUGUACCCACAGGUGCCCGUAAAGCUGUUCUCCCAGGUGCUCAACACACGCUCAGUCUCAACCACAAAAAUAUGGUUCAUUUUUUAAUGGAGAACAACUGUGUUGUAUCCACGUGUACAGGUGUUAAUUUUGAUAAAUUUUUUAAGACGUCAUUAUUUUACUACCGUAUGUAAAUAACAGUAGAAUAUCUUAGGUUUAGCCACGUUGUGAACUGUGUUUUAAGUUGGAGAAUAAAAGCCAAUAUUAUGUGUUAAGCAAAUGAAGGAAAUCUGGAAUUUCUGAAGCUUUAAUACGUGUUCUUGUGGUGCCACAGAGCUGCCCCAGUGACCACCUCUCCCAUGUGUUGUGUACAGUGCGGCCCCACACUUAUGACGGAUCACGAGGCUUUAGUUACUAAUAUGUGUUAACUGUUGUCCUGGACAGAACAAUGUCACUAUGGAAGUAAUACUGUACUGUAGUGUUAAGUGACGUCAAACACACACACUGUACAGGUCUUAGUUGUUUGGUGUUGAUGAGAGGGGCAGCUCUGUGGGUCACUUACCGUAUAAUGUGACUUUACUUCAUCACAGUGUGGCGUUAGUUGUUGGUGUUGAUAAUAAUGGAGUGGAUUUUGCUGUUUAGACUAGUGUGAGGAGCUGGUCCCCGGCCUCGCUUUGGUCCGGCCAGAGAUUUGGUCCGGCCAGAGCUUGGUUCCGGCCACGGCUAGACAUGGCCUGACCAAGUUGUAAGGUGGAUAAAUAAAAGUUUACAUUGUCUUCUGUAUAUUGUAUAUUAACUGAAAUAAGUUAUAAACAAGAUAUGUGUAACUUUUUUACCAAUAAAUAAAAUGUCAAAAUUCUUAUAAAUGUCACUAUGUAGACAUUAUUUUUUGUCAUGUAAAAUAAGUCACGAACUUAUCUUGAAAAAUAAGUUUAAUAAUAUCCCAAAUUGUAAUGGACUUCUUAAAUUAAUUCUUUAAUUCAGUUGUAUAUUGAAAUAUGUUUGUAGAUUACUUUGUGCACUACACCCAGAUCUCCUGUUUGGUGGGUGUAGUGUAAACAUUUCCCUGAGUGAGAGUUGCCACGGUAAGAGCGAAGGACGUGACGGUGGUAAGAGCUCAGUGAGGCAGUUUGUGGUGUUGUAAACCUUAGUCUUCCCGGCCGUUGUGUACAAAAGGAUGGAAUAAUAUAUUACUAGAGAAAUAUUUAUGUGAGGAGGAGGAGGGAGUGUCUGGCGGUGUGAGGAGGGAGGGGUCAGGCACGAACACUGUCCUCAGGCUCCGGAGUGGAUAGUGGAGUUAUCCGCUUCAGGAGGCUGGUUCCCUGUGAGACAGUAGCGAUCCUUUGUUUACAUGGCCGUCCUCUCACACCCAUCCGGACCCCCCCCCCUGUACCUACUAUGUUGCUGGUCAAUAAAUGUUUUGUAGUUGGAA
rnacentral:misc_RNA from 1 species